AGGGCAGCCAAGUCGUGAGGCGGAGCUAANCCCUUAAAGCCAUUCUCAGUUCGGAUUGUAGGCUGAAACUCGCCUACAUGAAGCUGGAGUUACUAGUAAUCGCAGAUCAGAAUGCUGCGGUGAAUGCGUUCCCGGGUCUUGUACACACCGCCCGUCACACCACGGAAGUUGGGGGCGCCCGAAGCCACUUAGCUAACCCUUUUGGGAAGCGAGUGUCGAAGGUGAAAUCAAUAACUGGGGUGAAGUCGUAACAAGGUAAC
rnacentral:rRNA from 1 species